AUUGAAUUAAUUACAUUUUCUUAUAGGCUUAUCAGUUUACCCCAUCUUUGUUAAAAUAACAUGCACUGCCCUACAAAAUGAAUGCCUUAUUCACAAUCAUGUUUCUGCCACAUUCUUAAAGAUUUGGGGAAACAAAUGCAAUCUAAAAUCAGAGACUCCAUGUUCAAUGCCAAAGGUACACACCUCUAUUUUUUUCCCCAACGAGCCCCUUGGAAAAGUCUUUGAAUUACAUAUUAAAGUGCGCUUCAAGGAAAUGUGAUCUUUUCGUUUAUAGCUGGUGAACAGCAUGCAAUUUGAUAGCACCGUCACUAACAAUCAGAGACUGCUCUGGAUCUAAGUACUAAAAAUGACCCACACUGCAAUCGCAAAAUACUUGGAAGUGGGAAUUUAUUGAACAAAGUUAGGCCGGGACUCUAAAGCAACACUUGAUUCUUUAGCUCCAAGACGACGACGUUUAAACGAAGGUGGUGGGAACAUACAGAGACCUACAGUGAAGAUGGCCAUGAGACAAGGGAGGCAGAGUCUGGAGUUACGCUGCCUACGGUCACGGAAUGCCAAGGAGAGCUGGAAACCACCAGAAGCUAAGAAGGAGAUUUUACCUGAAAGCCUCCCAAAGAAAUCAAUCAUACUCACACCUCCCUUUUGAAUUUCUGGCCUUGUGAACUGUGAAAAAAUAAAUUUCUAUCGUCUUAA